rnacentral:rRNA from 1 species
GACGAACGCUGGCGGCGUGCCUAAUACAUGCAAGUUGAGCGCUGAAGGUUGGUACUUGUACCGACUGGAUGAGCAGCGAACGGGUGAGUAACGCGUGGGGAAUCUGCCUUUGAGCGGGGGACAACAUUUGGAAACGAAUGCUAAUACCGCAUAAAAACUUUAAACACAAGUUUUAAGUUUGAAAGAUGCAAUUGCAUCACUCAAAGAUGAUCCCGCGUUGUAUUAGCUAGUUGGUGAGGUAAAGGCUCACCAAGGCGAUGAUACAUAGCCGACCUGAGAGGGUGAUCGGCAACAUUGGGACUGAGACACGGCCCAAACUCCUACGGGAGGCAGCAGUAGGGAAUCUUCGGCAAUGGACGAAAGUCUGACCGAGCAACGCCGCGUGAGGGAAGAAGGGUUUCGGAUCGUAAAACUCUGUUGGUAGAGAAGAACGUUGGUGAGAGUGGAAAGCUCAUCAAGUGACGGUAACUACCCAGAAAGGGACGGCUAACUACGUG